rnacentral:rRNA from 1 species
GACGAACGCUGGCGGCGUGCUUAACACAUGCAAGUCGAACGGUGAAGCGCCUUCCUUUUUGGUGGGUGUGGAGGAGUGGCGAACGGGGGAGUAACACGUGAGUAACCUGCUCCCUUCUUCUGGAUAACCGCAUGAAAGUGUGGCUAAUACGGGAUAUUCUGGGUCUGUCGCAUGAUGGGUCUGGGAAAGAUAUUGUUUCGGUGGGGGAUGGGCUCGCGGCUUAUCAGCUUGUUGGUGGGGUGAUGGCCUACCAAGGCGGUGACGGGUAGCCGGCCUGGGAGGGUCGACGGCCACACUGGGACUGAGACACGGCGCAGACUCCGACGGGAGGCAGCAGUGGAGAAUAUUGCACAAUGGGCGCAAGCCUGAUGCAGCGACGCCGCGUGAGGGAUGGAGGCCUUCGGGUUGUGAACCUCUUUCGCCAGUGAAGCAGGCUUGCCUCGUUUGUGGGUGGGUUGACGGUAGCUGGAUAAGAAGCGCCGGCUAACUACGUG